CGGGCGCAGACGUCGCAGCGUGGACCAGACACGCCGUCCACACAGACGCAGUGACCGUUGUCUUUGUUACACUGCGGCUCGGAGAUGCCGCGAGGGUCGCAGUCACAUGCUGAGGCAGAAACACAACUCAGGGUUAGAGCCUGAACGAAGAGCCUCUUCACUGUCAUGUUUAUGGCCUAAACGCUGCACACACAACCCUGCAGCCUUCAUCACGUCAUCCCUUUCCUGUCUGACUGCGUUCUGAUGAUUUCAAAUUCUUUAGCUGAAGCUCCUUCCAUCUGCAGAAACAACAAACGUAAAGCCGACGGGGAUUUUUCCCUUUGAUUCACACGGACAGACGGGACAAACAUGUAAAGUUUGUCCUGAUGGUGGCGCCAGAGGAAACCUUAACAACAUGGAGUCAUUAAGACGUAGUGUGUUGGGGAGCAGGUAGGAGAUCAGAUUCAUGAAGGUAUGAAGACGUUCAUCCAUUAGUUUAAAGCAGGUCCACCUUCAGCUCUGCUUCACACUAACAAAGCCUCUUUGUGCCUCUCUGUGGAUUUCGUGGGUAUUUGGAGGUUCAGGCAGAUCUCGAGUCUCGUCUCGACGCCCUGGGGAACAUCUGGACUCAAUAUCAGACACAGCAGAGGACGCUGAGAGCAGGAAUGUUCCCACGAUGCAACGGCUGAAAGACUCUGUUCAUUCAGAGCUUCAGAUGAAAACUGAGUCGCCGCUGAAUGUUACCGUGAGCCGGGGUGAAGUGAGAUCAUCUGGUUGUCGUCGUCAGGCACCGUGUUGACACAGCGACUGUCAGCUCUGAUUGGUCCUGGUCUCAUCACUGUCAUCAGAACCUCCUCCCAUUGGUCAGGCAGCUGCAGGACCAACAGUCCCAUGUCCAAUCAUGGAUUCUUUGGAUUCUGCUGGUGGGCGGGGCUACAGUUUCCUGACAGAGGCCUACCUGAGGUUCGUAGCGGAUGAUGAUGUCGUACUCCAUGGAGUGAGGGAUGUUGUCCACAGAGAACUCCAGGAAGGC